AUUGAACGCUGGCGGCAGGCCUAACACAUGCAAGUCGAGCGAGUGGCGGACGGGUGAGUAAUGUAUGGGGAACUGCCCGAUAGAGGGGGAUAACUACUGGAAACGGUGGCUAAUACCGCAUACUAUCGGAUGAACCCAUAUGGGAUUGGCUAGUAGGUGGGGUAAAGGCUCACCUAGGCGACGAUCCCUAGCUGGUCUGAGAGGAUGAACAGCCACACUGGAACUGAGACACGUCCCAGACUCCUACGGGAGGGAUGAGUGGGGAAUAUUGCACAAUGGGCGCAAGCCUGAUGCAUCCAUGCCGCGUGGAUGAAGAAGGCCUUAGGGUUGUAAAGUACUUUCAGCGGGGAGGCGUUACCCGCAGAAGAAGCACCGGCUAACUCCGUGCCAGCAGCCGCGGUAAUUC
rnacentral:rRNA from 1 species